GUUUUUGUUCAUAUCAGACAGGGGGUGCCCGAUCUCGUCCGCUCACGGAAGCAAAGCGGUCUUGAGCGCGAUCAGUAGUGGGUUCAGAGAUGACCUGCGAAGCCCGCGUGACGAUCUUU
rnacentral:rRNA from 1 species